UUCAAGUAUGCCAUAGUUACAAGAAUAAUAUAUUCUUAAAUUCUCUCAUUCAACUAUUUUCAUUAUCCUACUGUUACUGACUUUUGGUAUCUUAGGGCCACAAGAAAGAAGAAUGAUCGACCAAGGAAGCUAAUUUUUUAGCCGUAACAGAGGGGACUACACCAGUAUGACUGUCAUGCCUGCAGCUAUUUGAUGUAGUUGUUCCAAAUACAAGACAUCACUUAAAUUUAAUAGGGGUCCCAAUACUAAUAGGAAGACGAAAGAUUGCAGGCGCAACUUUCACUAUAAUCAUUUACAGUUCUGAAGCAUUUUCCCAGCGUAUAUUCAGCAAGAAGGAAGUGUUAGUAGUGAUUCUCUUGCUGCUUUUGGAUAUUACAGCUUCGUGUCAGCUUACAACAUUGCUCGGUGUUCAGAAUUGCUUGCCUACCUGAUCAAUAGAAUCAAAUUUUGUUUGCACAAAGAUAAAUCAAACAAGAAGCAAGUGAAACCACAUCUACUCACUACAUCCAUGAUCCAUCACCAACCAUCCAUUUUGAAUUUUGACACCCCCAAAAUGCACUUUUAACAAUUUAUAUAUUUCUAAAAUUUGGUGAAAAUGCGUAUGCCAAACACAAAAAUCAUAAGGAAACCUAUAAUUUAAGGCACUCAAUUCUGAAAAUACAAAUCUCAUUACUCUGCCGGAACACCAUUCAUAUUCUUCUGUACAAAUACAAAAAUAUAAUCCAAAAAAUUCAAAAAAAUAUCUGAAAUCUGAAAAGUAUCUCUCCCUAAUCUUUUGUACGUGACCACCAUUGCUCUAUUACAUUUCUCUAUUAGUGUUAUCUUUUUCAAGGACUUUCUGUUUCACUAGAUGGUCUACAAAUCUACUUAUUGUGAAAAAAUUUUAGGGGGUCCCCUCACAACUUGAAGCUCUUCUUCGUUGUUGCUCCUCAGCAUGUUCAAUCCCAGUCCGCUGUCUGGCAAUCAAUUAAAGUUGUGUGAUUAAGUAUGGUAAUGG
rnacentral:lncRNA from 1 species